rnacentral:rRNA from 1 species
GGGGAGGAGCCCAGAGCCUGAAUCAGCAUGUGUGUUAGUGGAAGCGUCUGGAAAGGCGCGCGAUACAGGGUGACAGCCCCGUACACAAAAGCGCAUGUGCUGUGAGCUCGAUGAGUAGGGCGGGACACGUGGUAUCCUGUCUGAAUAUGGGGGGACCAUCCUCCAAGGCUAAAUACUCCUGACUGACCGAUAGUGAACCAGUACCGUGAGGGAAAGGCGAAAAGAACCCCGGCGAGGGGAGUGAAAAAGAACCUGAAACCGUGUACGUACAAGCAGUGGGAGCCCCACCACCAAAGCAUUCUCUGGUGUUGAAGGCCCUGCAAAGCAGCAUCGCGGUGGCGGAGCGUCGUUUGCGACGCCCAACACACAAAACAAGCGGUGAAUGCUUUGGGGUGGGGUGACUGCGUACCUUUUGUAUAAUGGGUCAGCGACUUAUAUUCUGUAGCAAGGUUAACCGAAUAGGGGAGCCGGAGGGAAACCGAGUCUUAAUUGGGCGUUAAGUUGCAGGGUAUAGACCCGAAACCCGGUGAUCUAGCCAUGGGCAGGUUGAAGGUUGGGUAACACUAACUGGAGGACCGAACCGACUAAUGUUGAAAAAUUAGCGGAUGACCUGUGGCUGGGGGUGAAAGGCCAAUCAAACCGGGAGAUAGCUGGUUCUCCCCGAAAGCUAUUUAGGUAGCGCCUCGUGAAUUCAUCUCCGGGGGUAGAGCACUGUUUCGGCUAGGGGGCCAUCCCGGCUUACCAACCCGAUGCAAACUGCGAAUACCGGAGAAUGUUAUCACGGGAGACACACGGCGGGUGCUAACGUCCGUCGUGAAGAGGGAAACAACCCAGACCGCCAGCUAAGGU